AUGGACAAUGUGAAGACUACUAUCUCACUCAUGUCCUACGUUCCAGAGUCACCAAGAAAUCCCACCAUCUACCCACUGAGCCUCCCACUGUCGGUGUCAAGCGACCCAGUGAUAAUGGGUUGCCUGAUUAAGGAUUACUUCCCAUCUGGAACUAUGAAAGUGACCUGGGACAAGAGUGGGGAUGAUGUAACCACCAUAAACUUCCCACCUGUCCUGGGCUCUGGGGGCCGGUACACCAUGAGCAGCCAGUUGACCCUGCCAGCUGAAAAGUGCCCAAAUGAAACAUCUGUGACAUGCUCCGUACAGCACAACUCUAGCCCUGUCCAAACCAUGGAAGUGCCCUGCCCAUCUGACACAGAAAGAGAAAAUAUACUGAUCUGCUUAAACUUCUCAUUUAUACCAGACUGUUCCCCAAACUGCCAUGCCCACCUGUCACUGAUCCAGCCAGCUCUUGAGGAUCUGCUCCUGGGUUCAGAUGCCAGCAUCACAUGUACCCUGGGUGGCCUGAGAAAGCCUGAAGGAGCCGUUUUUACCUGGAAGCCCAGCACUGGGAAGGAUGCAGUGCAGAAGGCCCCUGUGCAGGACUCCUGUGGCUGCUACAGUGUGUCCAGCAUUCUGCCAGGUGCCGCUGAGCAAUGGAACAAUGCGGAGACCUUCACGUGCACAGUCACUCACCCUGAGGCUGGGACCUUAAGUGGCACAAUUGCCAAAGUCACAGAGAACACCUUCCCACCUCAGGUCCACCUGCUGCCGCCGCCGUCGGAGGAGCUGGCCCUAAAUGAGAUGGUGUCCCUGACAUGCCUGGUGCGAGGAUUUAACCCUAAAGACGUGCUAAUACGUUGGCAGCAUGGAAACCAGGAACUACCCACUGAAAGCUACCUAGUGUACGAACCCUUGAAGGAGCCAAACGAAGGCCCCUCCACCUACUCAGUGACCAGUGUUCUGCGUGUGUCAGCAGAAAGCUGGAGACAGGGUGACCAGUACACCUGCACGGUGGGCCACGAGGCCCUGCCCAUGAAAUUCACCCAGAAGACCAUCGACCGUCAGUCGGGUAAACCCACCAACGUCAACGUGUCUGUGAUUAUGUCAGAGGCAGAUGGCGUCUGCUACUGAGCCACCCUACCUGCCUCUAUUCUUUAAAUAAACUCUGUGCUCAUC